rnacentral:rRNA from 1 species
CAAAACGACUCUCGGYAACGGAUAUCUYGGCUCUCGCAUCGAUGAAGAACGUAGCGAAAUGCGAUACUUGGUGUGAAUUGCAGAAUCCCGUGAACCAUCGAGUCUUUGAACGCAAGUUGCGCCCGAAGCCAUUAGGCCGAGGGCACGUCUGCCUGGGCGUCAC